UUCUGUUAUUAGGGCGCCAAAGCAUAUCGAUUGUGCAGAUAAAUAAAUUUUGAGUGUAUCCUGUGAAGGAUUGUGCGAAGCACAUUAACAAAAUUGGAUGUUCACCUGCUAUUUCUUUUUGAGUAGAUAAUGAGAAACAUUGUUUUAGAAAGCUUAAUAUAAAAUGAAUCUGAAGCAGCUUUAUAAUUGUAUUUUGACAGGCAGUCUAUUACACGUUAUUUAUAUUUUUAAAAUAGAUAUGAGCCUAAAGAAUUUGUGGUCGCACUUUUCAAAACCAAGGAAACAGCAACAUAUCGAGGAAUUCAAGACGCAGAUCAUAGAGAAGUCGGCUCUCGAGUUUCUUCGCCCGUCCAUGACACAGCAGCUGCGCAGGAAGUUGAAUCUAUUGAAAAUGGCAACACGGAGAUCAUGGUUGCAACCGACUAUUCAACAUACAUCGUUUGUACAGAUUGUAAUAUAUUUGGAGGGAUUCGGUUGAUCGGAGUGUAUACGUCAACACCAUAUUCAUCAGCAAAAGACCUUCUUGACAUUAGGAAUGCUUUGAUUGAUUUGAACGUGACAUCACGUCUAAAUAAUUCUCAAUGCUCAGAUGUUAUUGUUGCUUCCGACAUCUCAACAAAAUAAUGCAACGACACAAAUAUUACAUUGUCUGACUUAUAAAUAUCAACUUAUUUUAUUAUUAUAAAACAAUGUAGCAAAUAAAUAUUUAGACGUAGGAUAUAGUAGAAUCUUUCUUUUAGAAUAGUAACUUUGCUUUCGACAGGCCUGGGAAGCGUUAUUUUUACCUUUUGUAUAAUCUGAUGCGAUCGCUUAAUUGUGGAAGUGGAAAUAAGUUGAGAGCCAACAAACGAAAGUCGAUAACUCGGGAGAGGUAAAAAAAUUUGUCGCAAUACCACAGGAACGCUAAUUAAUGCUUUACAUAUUAUCAGUAAUUCGCUAUAUCACAAUGCGAAACAUAUUGAACAUAAUCGCUUUUGGGUCACCGAUUUUAAUGCUCGUUCGAUAUGUUUAGAAUAGUCUACUUUCCAUAUUUCAAAGAAUUUGAUUCUAUUCAAUUUAUGUUUACAUAAAGUCGAUCAAGUUUCCAAGUAAUGAAUUUUUAAGGAACACUGAGGGAAAAGUGUGCGAAAUGAACUAGAAAGUGCUUUGCUAUAUUUAAACAGCAAUGGUCAAUGUCUAGAUGAAGUAUAGGGUAUCAUAGUAAUCGGGGAAAAAUGUGAAAAAAUGAAUAAAUUUGAUAAAGCUGCUCUGGCUGCUGCUGUUGACCAUCUAUGUUAGGGUCGUCAAACCCGUGGCCGCGGGCCACAUGUGGCCCGACGAAGGUUUCCGAGUGGCCCGCGUGGUAUUAUUCGAAUCCCAAUGUCUUUCACAAAUCUGAGCCUUUAUUGAAACCUCUAAUAAAAAAUGUCGUUCAAACGCACGAGAAGCACCACCUAGCUAUCGAAAGCUUCUUUUAUGUCCAUUUAUGGUCGUUAUUGCUAGUGAGACAUGUUUGAAUUUAUUUUUAUCGUCUGCCAUGUAUUUCAAUCUGUUUUCCUGUAUUUUUUCUGUGAAGCUAGAAGAGGCAGUUUUAUGACCUCAAUAUUUGACAGCAUUCACUUCUACGAGCAAUUUUUUUCAUGGAAUGAACAAGGAAAAUCCCCCGUGAAACACUAAUUUCUGACAGCCACGUGAAAAAUUUGCUCCGCAUUUCUACAUCGUCCAUUGCACCUAUGAUUGACAGACUUGUCGGAUAAACGCAGUGCCAUACUUCCCAUAAAUAUUUAUGUGUGGUUAAAACUUUUGACUUUACUGUAUCUUCGUAUUUUCGUUGUUCUUAUAAUUUAGGUGCUUUGUUUGUUUUUUCUUUGAUCUGUAGUCGGUGAAACUAGAAUAUAACUACCAUGUCAAGUGGACCGCGCAAUCAUUCGUAAACUAAAUGUGGUCCUUCGUCCAAAAAGGUUGGACAACCCUGAUCUAUGUUAUGAGCUUAUGUGCCUCAAUGAUUUAUGUUACAUAAGCUGAGUGAGGCCACACUUCAAUGGUGAAAAAGAUGAUGCACCCCGAAACAAGUUUGAGACCAAUCAUAUUCAUAACUCAUUUGAUAUUGGCCAUGAAGGUUAAUAACGGUAC